rnacentral:rRNA from 1 species
UGUGAGCUCGAUGAGUAGGGCGGGACACGUGGUAUCCUGUCUGAAUAUGGGGGGACCAUCCUCCAAGGCUAAAUACUCCUGACUGACCGAUAGUGAACCAGUACCGUGAGGGAAAGGCGAAAAGAACCCCGGCGAGGGGAGUGAAAAAGAACCUGAAACCGUGUACGUACAAGCAGUGGGAGCCUCUUUUAUGGGGUGACUGCGUACCUUUUGUAUAAUGGGUCAGCGACUUAUAUUCUGUAGCAAGGUUAACCGAAUAGGGGAGCCGAAGGGAAACCGAGUCUUAACUGGGCGUUAAGUUGCAGGGUAUAGACCCGAAACCCGGUGAUCUAGCCAUGGGCAGGUUGAAGGUUGGGUAACACUAACUGGAGGACCGAACCGACUAAUGUUGAAAAAUUAGCGGAUGACUUGUGGCUGGGGGUGAAAGGCCAAUCAAACCGGGAGAUAGCUGGUUCUCCCCGAAAGCUAUUUAGGUAGCGCCUCGUGAAUUCAUCUCCGGGGGUAGAGCACUGUUUCGGCAAGGGGGUCAUCCCGACUUACCAACCCGAUGCAAACUGCGAAUACCGGAGAAUGUUAUCACGGGAGACACACGGCGGGUGCUAACGUCCGUCGUGAAGAGGGAAACAACCCAGACCGCCAGCUAAGGUCCCAAAGUCAUGGUUAAGUGGGAAACGAUGUGGGAAGGCCCAGACAGCCAGGAUGUUGGCUUAGAAGCAGCCAUCAUUUAAAGAAAGCGUAAUAGCUCACUGGUCGAGUCGGCCUGCGCGGAAGAUGUAACGGGGCUAAACCAUGCACCGAAGCUGCGGCAGCGACACU